UUCUUGCCGGGGGUGCUUUACCCAUGCAAGUCGAACGGUGAAGCAGAGCUUGCUCUGUGGAUCAGUGGCGAACGGGUGAGUAACACGUGAGCAACCUGCCCCUGACUCUGGGAUAAGCGCUGGAAACGGCGUCUAAUACUGGAUAUGAGCUGCGAUCGCAUGGUCAGCAGUUGGAAAGAUUUUUCGGUCUGGGAUGGGCUCACGGCCUAUCAGCUUGUUGGUGAGGUAAUGGCUCACCAAGGCGUCGACGGGUAGCCGGCCUGAGAGGGUGACCGGCCACACUGGGACUGAGACACGGCCCAGACUCCUACGGGAGGCAGCAGUGGGGAAUAUUGCACAAUGGGCGAAAGCCUGAUGCAGCAACGCCGCGUGAGGGAUGACGGCCUUCGGGUUGUAAACCUCUUUUAGCAGGGAAGAAGCGAAAGUGACGGUACCUGCAGAAAAAGCGCCGGCUAACUACGUGCCAGCAGCCGCGGUAAUACGUAGGGCGCAAGCGUUAUCCGGAAUUAUUGGGCGUAAAGAGCUCGUAGGCGGUUUGUCGCGUCUGCUGUGAAAUCCCGAGGCUCAACCUCGGGUCUGCAGUGGGUACGGGCAGACUAGAGUGCGGUAGGGGAGAUUGGAAUUCCUGGUGUAGCGGUGGAAUGCGCAGAUAUCAGGAGGAACACCGAUGGCGAAGGCAGAUCUCUGGGCCGUUACUGACGCUGAGGAGCGAAAGGGUGGGGAGCAAACAGGCUUAGAUACCCUGGUAGUCCACCCCGUAAACGUUGGGAACUAGUUGUGGGGUCCAUUCCACGGAUUCCGUGACGCAGCUAACGCAUUAAGUUCCCCGCCUGGGGAGUACGGCCGCAAGGCUAAAACUCAAAGGAAUUGACGGGGACCCGCACAAGCGGCGGAGCAUGCGGAUUAAUUCGAUGCAACGCGAAGAACCUUACCAAGGCUUGACAUAUACGAGAACGGGCCAGAAAUGGUCAACUCUUUGGACACUCGUAAACAGGUGGUG
rnacentral:rRNA from 1 species